rnacentral:lncRNA from 1 species
GGCAGAUACAAAGCAUCUUGUCCUGUGAGUGUGUCUGAGAGAUGUUUGCAGACAGAAAUUGGAGAUAGGAGAUCAUCCCCAAGAGAAGUGAGAGAAAAUUCAGUUGCCAGGAAGUAAAGAAAGGAACUUUUUAAGUAUCUGGGAAGCACAGUAACUUUAGCUCUAGACACUGUGGCUCUGCUUUACAUUACUCUAAUCUCCUUAAGGCCUCACCUGUGUCUAAUACAUCUUUGGUAACUCCAAACCUAACCUAACAUAAUAACUUGGCAUAACGUAUGUUCAAUAAAUAUUUUCUAAGUUAAUAACA